AUCAAUAGUAACAAAGCAAGACACGCAGGUCUAGGUAUGUAAGUAAAACAAUACAAACCGAGCAUAAGUAUGUUAUAACUAAGUUGUCGCUAUCAAAUUGGUCGCGAUAGAGAUUAUACUUAUCAAUAGGGUAACUAGACCCAUCCGUCCGUUAGUUUAGUUUCAGCAGGGUAUUAUAAAUAAACAUGGGUAACCUUAUAU